AUUGAACGCUGGCGGCAGGCCUAACACAUGCAAGUCGAGCGGAGCGGCGGACGGGUGAGUAAUGCCUAGGAAUCUGCCUGGUAGUGGGGGAUAACGUCCGGAAACGGGCGCUAAUACCGCAUACUAUCAGAUGAGCCUAGGUCGGAUUAGCUAGUUGGUGGGGUAAAGGCCUACCAAGGCGACGAUCCGUAACUGGUCUGAGAGGAUGAUCAGUCACACUGGAACUGGGAAACGGUCCAGCCUCCUACGGGAGGCAGCAGUGGGGAAUAUUGGACAAUGGGCGAAAGCCUGAUCCAGCCAUGCCGCGUGGGUGAAGAAGGUCUUCGGGUUGUAAAGUUCUUUCGGUAGCGAGGCGUUAACUACAGAAGAAGCACCGGCUAACUCCGUGCCAGCACCGCGGUAAUUC
rnacentral:rRNA from 1 species